rnacentral:lncRNA from 12 species
GGAUUUUGAGUGUUUCAAUACAGUUUGUAGGACUUUUUUUUGGUGUGAUUUUUGGGGGGUGUUUUUUUUUUUUUUUUUUGACUAUUUGGAGUUGCAUAGGUGAGGAGAACACCUCAUUCCUCUUCCCCCGUGUCUUCUCCGGGAGCAGAGCCAGCUGUGGCGUGGGAUUUGUUGGGCAGGGAGCAUAUGCCCGUGUUCCCAGCCCAUAGGAGGCAGGAGAUGUUUGUGUGGAUCUGAUUGUGGCGAAUGUUUGCUGCCAAUCCCUAAUGAGGGGCCGGAGCAGAUGGCAAAGGCUGGCUGCCAGUCACACUCCCGCAGCACUGCCUUUCUCUCAGGAUUGGCACCGUGAGGUUGUCCCUGCGUCGAGGCUCGGUCGGGCUGGGAUUCCUCCUGGGCAGCUGCUGCCGUCCCCUCGUUCCUGCCACAAAGGUUUGUUAGCAUCCUC